GACGAACGCUGGCGGCGUGCUUAACACAUGCAAGUCGAACGGUAAGGCACUUCGGGGUACACGAGUGGCGAACGGGUGAGUAACCCGUGGGUGAUCUGCCCUGCACUUCGGGAUAAGUCUGGGAAACUGGGUCUAAUACCGGGUAGGACCUCUGCCUGCAUGGGUGGUGGUGGAAAGCUUUUGCGGCGUGGGAUGGGCCCGGGGCCUAUCAGAUUGGUGGGGGGGUGAGGGCCUAGCAAGGCGACGACGGGUAGCCGGGCUGGGAGGGUGAGCGGCCACACUGGGACUGAGAUACGGCCCAGACCCCUACGGGAGGCAGGAGUGGGGAAUAUUGCACAAUGGGCGCAAGCCUGAUGCAGCGACGCCGCGUGAGGGAUGACGGCCUUCGGGUUGUAAACCACUUUCAGCACCGACGAAGCGCAAGUGACGGUAGGUGCAGAAGAAGGACCGGCCAACUACGUGCCAGCCGCCGCCGUAA
rnacentral:rRNA from 1 species